GACAGAGGGUGCAAACGUUGUUCGGAAUUACUGGACGUAAAGCGAGUGUAGGCGGUUCGAUAAGUCGGAUGUGAAAGCCCCGGGCUCAACCCGGGAAGUGCACUCGAUACUGUCGAGCUAGAGUAUCGGAGAGGUUGGUGGAAUUCUCGGUGUAGAGGUGAAAUUCGUAGAUAUCGAGAGGAACACCGGUGGCGAAGGCGGCCAACUGGACGAAUACUGACGCUGAGACUCGAAAGCGUGGGGAGCAAACAGG
rnacentral:rRNA from 1 species